CCUACGGGUGGCAGCAGUCGAGAAUCAUUCACAAUGGGGGAAACCCUGAUGGUGCGACGCCGCGUGGGGGAAUGAAGGUCUACGGAUUGUAAACUCCUGUCAUGUGGGAGCAAAUUAAAAAGAGAGUACCACAAGAGGAAGAGACGGCUAACUCGGUGCCAGCAGCCGCGGUAAUACAGAGGUCUCAAGCGUUGUGCGGAAUCACUGGGCGUAAAGCGUGCGUAGGCGGUUUCGUAAGUGGUGUGUGAAAUGCGCGGGCUCAACCCGCGGACGGCAUAUGAUAAUGCGAGACUAGAGUAUUGUAGGGGUAACCGGAAUUCACGGUGUAGCAGUGAAAUGCGUAGAUAUC
rnacentral:rRNA from 1 species